rnacentral:rRNA from 2 species
ACGAACGCUGGCGGCGUGCUUAACACAUGCAAGUCGAACGGUGAAGCCUUCGGGUGGAUCAGUGGCGAACGGGUGAGUAACACGUGGGCAAUCUGCCCUGCACUCUGGGACAAGCCCUGGAAACGGGGUCUAAUACCGGAUAUUACCUGAGGGGGCAUCUUCUCGGGUGUAAAGCUCCGGCGGUGCAGGAUGAGCCCGCGGCCUAUCAGCUUGUUGGUGGGGUGAUGGCCUACCAAGGCGACGACGGGUAGCCG